rnacentral:misc_RNA from 1 species
CCCUUUCCACAAAAUCUUCCUCCCGAAAUAAGUCUGCUCGUUACUUUAAAAAAAUUCUUAAGUUACCUCCAAAAGCUCUAGGGUUAAAUAAAAAGCUCCCUUCCGAAUUUGUUCUCCGACAACAAAAAUGGCAGUGAGGUUCCUAAUCUCAAGAACUUCACCAAAGAGUCUCCACCAACUUCUGCAGCCUAGUCUCCAAAAAUCUUCCCCAGUUUCUCAAUUCCUCAGACAUAUGCAUUCCUUCAUUUCCCCAGAAUUCAAUUUCCGAAAUUCCUGUCCUCAAAAUUCCAGGGGCAUGGUCUCUGCUCCUGAUUACGGUCUUGAAGAAGCUGGUGCCGCUGCUCUCAGCCUCGAUAAUCGCGUUCCAGCAACUGUAAUAACUGGGUUUCUUGGCUCUGGGAAGACCACUCUUCUCAAUCACAUUCUUACAUCUCAACAUGGCAAGCGGAUUGCAGUCAUAGAGAAUGAGUUUGGUGAGGUGGAUAUUGAUGGAUCAUUGGUUGCUAGCCAUUCUUCUGCCAGUGACGACAUAGUUAUGGUUAACAAUGGUUGCCUGUGCUGUACUGUGAGAGGAGAUCUGGUUAAAAUGCUGUUGGAGUUGGUCAAGAAAAAAAGGGACAAAUUUGAUCACAUUGUUAUUGAAACCACGGGACUUGCUAAGCCUGGCCCUGUCAUAGAAACAUUCUGUUCUGAUGAACUAGUUUCACGUCAUGUGAAACUGGAUGGAGUUGUUACCAUGGUUGAUUCCAAACAUGCCAUGCAACACUUGAAUGAAGUUAAACCCAGAUUUGUGGUGAAUGAGGCGGUAGAACAAAUUGCAUAUGCCGACCGAAUUAUACUGAACAAGAUAGAUUUGGUGUCCGAGACUGAAUUACAGAGUUUGACACACCAAAUCAAGCAUAUUAAUGGUAUGGCUCCAAUUAAGCUGGCCAAAUAUGGAUCUGUAGACAUGGACUUUGUCUUGGGAGUAGGAGGAUAUGAUCUUGAAAGGAUUGAUUCUGAAGUUCAUAUAGACGAUUUAUGUAGUGCAACGCGUGAACAUGAGGCUGCACAAGAGGAUCAUGAGGGCCAUCAUCAUCAGGAAUGUAAAUCCCAUCAUGACCAUGUGCAUGAUUCUAGCGUCUCUAGUGUCAGUAUUGUCUCUGAGGGAACUCUGGACCUCGAUGAGGUUGAUGAUUGGCUUGAAAGACUAAUUGAAGAAAAUGGUGAGGACCUGUACAGGAUGAAAGGCGUCUUAUCUGUAGCAAGUUCUGAUCAGCGAUAUAUUUUUCAGGGGGUGCAUUCUACAUUAGAUGGUUGCCCAGGCAAACCAUGGGGGCCUGAUGAACAGAGAAUAAACAAGAUUGUGUUCAUAGGAAGAAAUUUGAAUGAAACUGCUCUCAGAAAAGGUUUCAAAGGUUGUC